UCGCCCACGCCCCAUAGCCGCCUCGCCGCCGCCCCAGUGCAUGCCAAGCCGCGCCGGCCUGCCACCGCCCUGCUCCUUAGUCACUCCGCGCGCAGGUUCCUUGUCGUGGCCGCGUCGCGCCGGCCCGCGUUUCCACCGUUGGCCGCGCCGCGUCCAGCUUGCUAUCGUGGUCGCGCCGUGCCCGCGCCCUGCCGUGGUCAUGCCGCGCCCGCUCCAUGUUAUGGUCGUGUCGUGCUCGCUCCCUGCCCGCCAGGCCCGACUCGUUGUCGUGGCCGCGCCAAGCUCCCUGCCCGCCAGGCCCGACUCGUUGUCGUGGCCGCGCCAAGCUCCCUGCCCUGGCCAUGCCCGGCUCCCUGCCGUGGUCGCGCCGCGCCCGCUCACUGUCGUGGCCGCGCCGCACGGGCGCGCGCUUUCGCCAUCAGUCGCGCCACGCUCAGCUCACUGUCAUGGCUGCACCAAGCUCCAUGCCCUGGCUGGUGCGCCGCGGGUGUGAGGAGGAAGGGGACGAGGGGAUAAUGUCUUUUUUAGCAGCGAACGAGGGAAUUAAACACAAUAAGCGUCGCGUUAAGGACGCUCAUUCGCGUGGUACACCUGUCCGAUUUUACUGUGCAUGUUUUACUGUACCGAACGAAACAAGACUUGUUCAUGAUCGCUCGACUGGGUAGCGGGCCGCUUAAUCCCCCCACGCUCAGCGCCCCUCUCCUUCCACUCCCACAGCUAGGGUUAGCGUCGCCGCUGCCCUCCCCGCGCUCGCGCCUAGAGCUUCCGCGCCGCCAUGUCCCCUCGCGCAAGCCGGCCUCACCGCAGAAGAGGGUCGUCCAUGGAGCCUGUAUCCCCGUCGUCGACCUUGCGCACAUGAAAGGUCGCUGCUGCUGGUCGUGGUCACCCAGGUUGACAGAGCGCCCACUGCCCUGCAGCUCAUCAUGGAGCCUUGAACUCAAGGUUAGCGACGAAGAUGGGCGUCCCUACUGGUGGCCUGCGGAGAAGUACCCGAUGGUGAUGGUGGACGUGGUGGACGAGGAACAUGUCGAGAUCGAGGGUGUCAAGGGCUACUAAUGCAGAGGAGCAAACUGGAAAUUCCACCUGCAUAUUUUAGGUAAUUUAUAUCAUGUUUUUAAACCCUUUGUGUGCAUAUGGUAGGCACGAACUUGUCCCUGCAGCUCAUGAUAAGAGUAGGACCUUAAAUUCCCUAGAAUGAGUUCUUAUAGCCUUUUGUCAUUCUAGUGUGUAUUUUCAAUGGAAAUAAUCCAAGGGCAAUCUUAGCUUAUUCGUUGAUCUGUUCUGAACCAUGGUUCAUACAUAUAUUGUUGCAGUUGCCAAUUAGAACAGUGUGAUAUACAACAAUUCGAGUUCCACAUCUGUUUAAAGGACUUCUGAUCUCAUCUCACCUUCUUGGCAGAGUGUUCAAUUAAAAUCAUAUUUAUUACUGGGUUGGAGCAGAUGGAUUGAUUUCUACAUGCAAAGUAACGCAUCAGGUUGAGUUGAACGUGUGGUACUUUGCACCUUUGGUUAUAUAUAUCUCAUUAGUAUGACUAUUUAUUAGCAUGAUGGUUAUGAUAGAAUGUUGUAAUACAACAAGGAACACAAUUACCUAUACUUAACUAAAUGAUAAAUCACUAACCCUUUUUACUAGAGUUUGCAUUAGGCCAAUCGACAUGCUGCUAUUAGAUCCAAGUACACUCUACAACUCAUGAGUAUUUCUUUAGUAUCUCACUUCUAAUAUGGUGUCUGCUCUGUUCGAGGUUAUGUGUCCUCACUAGCGGUAGCAGCACCUUUGCCAUCGUCCUUCUCUUCUACAUUCACUUUUUUUAAUCCCGUGUUGUUUAGAUAAAAUUUGGUGGUUUAGAUGAAAUUUUAUCGGAGGGUUUCCCAAUCAUUAAUUUUGUGGUGCUAAUUUGUUCUUAAUUUCUUAUGUCUCUAGGUGUCCGCAUUUUCUCUUGUAAACCUCUUUUACUUGCCUAUCUCCCUACCGGUAUACAUGUCUUUAAUGGAUAGUUUAUUAUACAGAGUUUUCUUUCAUAAUUUUUAAAAAAAUUCUCGAUGAAUGACGGGUAGUGUCCUACUAGAAUAUUGGGAAAAUGAAAAUCGACUCUGGUUAUUCACUUAUUCUAGCAUGAUCACUAUCACACUGAGUUUUUUUGCAUGCUGUGACACCAAUAUACUUGUAAUCUUAGUACUGGGUUCUUCUAAAGGAUGAUUUUCUUCUCAUACUACAGCUGGAAUGAUCAAAAUAUGUGAUCUCGAAGUCACUGUUCUUCAUGCUUACUUAUCAUUAUAUUGUUGUCAUUGGAUAUUAUAUAGAGACCAAGACUGCAUAUGGAAGUCAUUUUAUAAGCUUUAGAGUUCCAGCAACGAGAAAGAAAAUUUGCGAUAUCAUGUUUAGUAGGUCUAUAGUUUUCUUACUCCUAUAUUGGGUGUUGCAUAAUGAGCUAAUUGAUAUUGGACAUUAUGUAGAGUCUUAAUUAUCUUCAUUGCAGUAUCACAUUAUUUGACUCUGUUGAUUCAUUGUGCUUGCCAUUAGUAUUGUGAAAACAUCUGCCUUCUUUGCAGUAAUUUUGAAGAUAUAUUUUAUGUGGGUCAUUUUAUAAACUAUGUGAAGGAUGAAGCACGCAUUGUCCCAGACAUCCCUGACUGGUUCGUCGAAAAAGAUCAGCUCUUCACCAGUAUAAAGUAAUUCGAGUUGCGAUCUCAAGAAAAGGACAAUACCCAGUUGGAUUCAUUCACUUCGGCAGUUUUUCAGGUCUUUUGUGUAGUGGCGUACUGUUGUUGGUAACCUUGCAUAGUUAUUUGCGUUUCAAGUGACAAUUCAAAUGCUAACAAUGAUUGGUGUGGGGCUCGGUGGUACAGUUCCCUGACCUUCCAGUCAGAUGUUCCACGAGAUGGUCCAAUGGUGGAAUAUGAGAAGAGAAUUGCAUCAGGAGAUAUUGAAGAUGGUGAUAGCUUCCAGGUUAUUGCAUUGGACCUGAUCAAUGCUUUUCUUACAUGAUCUCCUUCAUAUUUGGUUCUGGAUGCAUGGUUUCCAUCUACCCUUGAUAGUGCGCACAUGCACACCAGGACUGAAAAUCGUCAAUGAACAUUGUAAAUCGGCUGCCGCGCGUUGGUAGUGCCCCCUCUUCUAAAGACACUGCGGCAUAGUCGCGUCGACCUCAGCGGCAGGCGCAAUGACUGGUUGCACUAUGGCGAGCAGGAACUCUCAAUUGACAAGCGGCCAGUGUUCCAGUUCCACACCCCCCUCGAGCUGGCAAAGAUGACGGCGAGCGUUAGCUCGCGGGGGCAGCAUAGGGCAAUGGGGAUGUUGUAACGCCCCGGAUGCAACUUUCCAUAUUCGUAACUCCAACUCUUGCCUU